AGUUAUCUUAGGUCGACGUUCACGGUUUGACUUCUGAGAUUCAGACGGAGUUCAAGAUCCAGGUUAACCUCAGCGGAGAGCUGUUCUACGCUGGGGAAGCUCCUCCUGCAGGCAGACAGAAACAAAGACGAGGUUCUUCAGCUGAGACUCCCGCAGGCGGACCAGCUCCUCUAGGUAUCCCUGCCAAGGAACAUAAGUUGGUCUAACAUCACAGCACUGUCUUCCGGAGACUUCCUCCAUUGGCGUUGGCCUUCAUUUGGGGAAUACACUUUUCCAGGCUUGUGACAAUGCUACACCUUUCACCGAGAAAAAUUUGAUCUUCCUGCUACUGAAGCAGGUGUGCAAAGAUUCCUUGGUGCUGAGCAGUCAGUGCUGCUUCUUAAAGAUUUCCACCAUUACUAUUAAACAUCGAUAAAUAAAAUGCAAUUAUUAAAUGCAGCCAACCUGCCGGAUUCAGAGUUUCAGAUUCAGGCUCUGGUCAUGGCUUAAUGCCUUUAAAAUCUUAAUGUAGGGCACCUCAUGAAUAUGACCUAAUUCAACAAAGAUCUACUGUUCUGCACAGUACUACUGAAUUCUGACUGCUUGUUUGGGUCCAGCACUGAUAUGUUUCUUGCUAGAGUUUAGCAACUGUGCCUUUGUAGGAAUCUUCAUCGCCAUUUUUAACUACAGUUUUGCGUAUAUUGUAGCCUGGGCCUUUCUGAGCUCAGACACACACUUAUCCAACAGUUUUGCUCUGUGACCAACAGCACUUUGAGUUUUGUGGCCUCCAACAUCAGGUAAUGUCACUAUCCAGAAAAAACACCAUGUGCCCGUGUAUACCAUAAAACCUUCAGAAAGUGUGUGAUUUCCCAGGUAAUCAUGAAAUAGAAGCCAAACCUUUCAUUUUAUCUAGGUAACAUUUGGCAACCUUUGCCCAGAUCUGUUGAAUGGGUCAAAUUUGUAAGGUACACUCUGGCAAUCCCUCAUUCCCCAGCUGCAGAAACCAAGGGGAUGGAAUAAAGUCCCUGACUCCCAAACAAACCGGCAUGUAGGUGAGUCCCCAAAAAGCUGUUUCAGUGCAGAAAGCACACUUCCCAGUCAGCUGCUAAAGAAGCUGCACUGAGACAAUUAUGGGUCAUAUAACACAAGCCCUCCAACACUAAGCUCUUUAAGUUGUUUUGCUUUUCAGCAUCUCCUUAUAACAUGGGCCACAGUUUGUGUUGGGUCCAUCAGCUGUGUGGGCCCAAAUUCCCAUACACACGCUACAAUAUCUCAGAGACCUACUCAGAAGUAGGACGGUUCAUGGAAAAUAAGGUCAGGGACAUUAUUUUAUUCGGUUCCCAUUUCAGAAUUAUAUGCGGUCUGAGAGGGCAUGCAGGGAUUUACCAAGCAGCGGCACAUUUUUGCUCAGAUUUGAUCUUCAUAACUAAUAAGCAUUAAGGGGCGAUCUCAGAAUUUGUAAUGUGUGACACUUUUUCCACUCUCCACCUGCGAAGAGUAAUCAAAUGUCAACUGAGAAAUUUUAAUUACCAUGUCAUAUAACGUGCUGAAUGAUUAUCACUUUAAUUGACUGGCAUAUUUCAGCUGCCAGUGCUUGGCCAGAUGGUAUUAAUUGUCUCAUGGUGCCUGUGGUUUUGGAGGUCGAAAUCUAAAAUAGGCAGAAUAAAAUAAUAAAAAAAUUAGGAUGUGGAUCCUGGCACUGUUGACCGGUGAAACACAGUAUGAAUACAAAGAAAUUAUAAUAUGCUAUAAUCAAUUUAUUGCUGAUAACCCAAAGUAACAUUCAUCAGAUGUAAAUAUUAACCAGCAUGACUAACAGCUACAUUUUUCAUUGCUGAAUAACAAGCUUGAGAGCAAAGAUUCUGCUGUAACAAAACUGAUUUCUGCUUUACAUCAUGCCAUCAUGGCAUUUUUGGUAUUUGUCAUUGGGCAUGGUGCCUGUUUCAUUCCACUCUAUCGCAAAGCAUAGUCAGGGGAAUUUUAGAGAAAGGACUGGAUACAAUAUAAGUGUUUAUAUAGCUCUUCUUCCUCAUAACUGUCUUGCACUUGUUUCUGGUCAAUUGUUAGAAGUGUAGCCUAGCAGCACUUGUACAUAAAUCAGCUCAUGACAGCUGUAUGCUUAUUUUGUAUUAUCUGCUUCACUUGCAUGUCACUUUGGACAAAAGCAACUGCCAAUAAAUAUGCAUGUAAGCAUAGAACUGGCCUGUGGGGAUUUUCUGUUUUUAACAGACAAGUCAUUAUCAUAUUACUGAAGCAAAGACUUAUGCAAAAAGAAAACUGUUCUGUUUAAUUAGAAAUAAACACAAAUAAAUUUCAGUUUCAAAUAGUUUCACAAGCUUCAUAUCGACUGUGUUAAAUUCACACAUUAUCGGGGCACAUAAAGCACUUAUAAGGACAAAGAGAUUGUUAAACAUUACCAAAAAAAUGAAACAAACAUUAACAUCAAAGAUAAACUCCUCCUUCCUGAUGUGUUGUAAUGACCAGAUUGUCACAUAAGCCAUGAUAAGAUUAGAUGCUAAAUAUAAUAUUUAUCAAAAAUAAUCUGUUGAAACAGUACUGUAUGACUGUAGGUAUAUCUUAUUUGUUGUAGAUAGUUACGACACUCUGUAAGCAGUUAUAGUUGGAGGGAAUGGACAGAUAAUACCAUAA